UGCCAGCCGCCGCGGUAACACGGGGGGCGCAAGCGUUAUUCGGAAUUAUUGGGCGUAAAGGGCGCGCAGGCGGUCUUGUCCGUCAGGUGUGAAAGCUCGGGGCUCAACCCCGGAAUUGCCAUUGAUACUGAUGUCCUUGAGUGUAGUUGCGGUAGGCGGAAUGUGUCAUGUAGCGGUGAAAUGCAUAGAUAUGACACAGAACACCAAUUGCGAAGGCAGCUUACCAAGCUACUACUGACGCUGAGGCACGAAAGCGUGGGGAGCGAACAGGAUUAGAUA
rnacentral:rRNA from 1 species